GGUAGAAGGGCCUCUCACAGCAGCGCUGACCUGAGCUUCUACUGGGGGGAUGGAAUCUAGGAUCUUCUGAUUCUACAUCAGACGAGAGGUGGAGGCCCCCUCCUGGGUGUGGAUAAUUUGGAAUCAGUUAAAAGGGAGUCUUGAUGCGUGGAUUUGGGUCCCCAAACUGCCACCUCCUUUGGCUCUUUCCUGACCCUGAAGAGAACCUGACCCGGAUGUACCAAGACCUUGCCGGAAGCCUCUAGCCAGAGCAGCUGGCCCUGGACUCCCACUGGGACACUGACUGGGAGAUUCUUAGAGCACUGAACGAUUGGCCCUCCACCUUCCCAGCGGCUCUUUGGGAAAAGAUGCCCAUUGCAUGAAGCGGGGCCUCUCAAGGAGGAGCCCCAGGUCACCUGUUGCAACAGAAUCGCCUGGGAGCUCCAAGGCCCAGCCCCAACCCAUACCCAAUGAGUCUGAAUCUCCAGGAGGUGCCCAGACAUCUGCACAUCCAGCAGGUUCCCAGCUUCACAUUGUAAGGCUCCACCUCUUUCCACCCCCAGGAUCUUCAGGGGCACAGUAAAGUGUCCACCAUGAGCUGCCUUCACCCCAGCCCUUGGGACCAUGUGGGGACCGGGUGGGAACUCUGGGCUCCUGUGACACUCAGACCAAGCCCCUCACAUUGCAGGGGCCCUGCUCAGCAUCCUGGAGGGGAGCAAC
rnacentral:lncRNA from 1 species